rfam:Echinostoma caproni strain Egypt genome assembly, scaffold: ECPE_scaffold0009062
GCACUGCUGACGAGUCCUAAACAGGACAAAACAGCUGUCCCGGUGC